rnacentral:rRNA from 1 species
GACGAACGCUGGCGGCGUGCUUAACACAUGCAAGUCGAACGCUGAAGCUCAGCUUUUGUUGGGUGGAUGAGUGGCGAACGGGUGAGUAACACGUGAGUAACCUGCCUCCUUCUUUGGGAUAACGCCCGGAAACGGGUGCUAAUACUGGAUAUUCACUGGUCUUCGCAUGGGGGUUGGUGGAAAGGGUUUUUCUGGUGGGGGAUGGGCUCGCGGCCUAUCAGCUUGUUGGUGGGGUGAUGGCCUACCAAGGCUUUGACGGGUAGCCGGCCUGAGAGGGUGACCGGUCACAUUGGGACUGAGAUACGGCCCAGACUCCGACGGGAGGCAGCAGUGGGGAAUAUUGCACAAUGGGCGCAAGCCUGAUGCAGCGACGCCGCGGGAGGGAUGGAGGCCUUCGGGUUGUGAACCUCUUUCGCUCAUGGUCAAGCCGCAACAAUGGUUGUGGUGAGGGUAGUGGGUAAAGAAGCGCCGGCUAACUACGUG